GUCUCAGUUCGGAUUGGAGUCUGCAACUCGACUCCAUGAAGCUGGAUUCGCUAGUAAUCGCGCAUCAGCCAUGGCGCGGUGAAUACGUUCCCGGGCCUUGUACACACCGCCCGUCAAGCCAUGGGAGUCGGGAGUGCCUGAAGUUCGUGACCGUAUAGGAGCGACCUAGGGCAAGACUGAUGACUGGGGCUAAGUCGUAACAAGGUAAC
rnacentral:rRNA from 1 species